UGGCAUGGGCGAAACCUGAUCCAGCCUGCCGCGUGUGUGAAGAAGGUCUUCGGAUUGUAAAGCACUUUAAGUUGGGAGGAAGGGCAGUAAGCUAAUACCUUGCUGUUUUGACGUUACCGACAGAAUAAGCACCGGGGGCUACUCUGUGCCAGCAGCCGCGGUAAUA
rnacentral:rRNA from 1 species